rnacentral:rRNA from 1 species
GAUGAACGCUGGCGGCGUGCCUAAUACAUGCAAGUCGAGCGAACAGACGAGGAGCUUGCUCCUCUGACGUUAGCGGCGGACGGGUGAGUAACACGUGGAUAACCUACCUAUAAGACUGGGAUAACUUCGGGAAACCGGAGCUAAUACCGGAUAAUAUAUUGAACCGCAUGGUUCAAUAGUGAAAGACGGUUUUGCUGUCACUUAUAGAUGGAUCCGCGCCGCAUUAGCUAGUUGGUAAGGUAACGGCUUACCAAGGCAACGAUGCGUAGCCGACCGGAGAGGGUGAUCGGCCACACUGGAACUGAGACACGGACCAGAGUCCUACGGGAGGCAGCAGUAGGGAAUCUGACGCAAUGGGCGAAAGCCUGACGGAGCAACGCCGAGUGAGUGAUGAAGGUCUUCGGAUCGUAAAACUCUGUUAUUAGGGAAGAACAAAUGUGUAAGUAACUAUGCACGUAUUGACGGUACCUAAUAAGAAAGCCACGGCUAACUACGUG